rnacentral:rRNA from 1 species
CCUACGGGAGGCUGCAGUGGGGAAUAUUGGACAAUGGGGGGAACCCUGAUCCAGCCAUGCCGCGUGUGUGAAGAAGGCCCUCGGGUUGUAAAGCACUUUCAGUGAGGAAGAACGCCUGGUGGUUAAUACCCAUCAGGAAAGACAUCACUCACAGAAGAAGCACCGGCUAACUCCGUGCCAGCAGCCGCGGUAAUACGGAGGGUGCGAGCGUUAAUCGGAAUUACUGGGCGUAAAGCGCGCGUAGGUGGCUUGAUAAGCCGGUUGUGAAAGCCCCGGGCUCAACCUGGGAACGGCAUCCGGAACUGUCAAGCUAGAGUGCAGAAGAGGAAGGUAGAAUUCCCGGUGUAGCGGUGAAAUGCGUAGAGAUCGGGAGGAAUACCAGUGGCGAAGGCGGCCUUCUGGACUGACACUGACACUGAGGUGCGAAAGCGUGGGUAGCAAACAGGAUUAGAUACCCGUGUAGUC